GGCAUCUAGCGAGGGAGGCAGCAGGCGCUGGAAGACGCUGCUCAUUUCAGAGAGAAGAGAGGAGGUACAAGUGUCUCCUGAUUCCUCCUCACCCUGACAGUCUUUGCCAAACGUUGAAAAGCUCUUCUUCUUUUCACUGGUGUCAGCAGGCUGUGGAUCUUCCUCGAGGCCCUGCUGCUGCUGUUGCUGCAGCUGCUGCUGUUGUGACUGAAACUCCUCCCCAGGGAUGAACAUGUUACUCCUGUAAUCGGAUGAGGGAGAUGGCAACGGUGGCAUCCAGCACUGGUCAGAGUGGCCUAGAACCCUGCAUUCCUCCGUGCACAGACGCAUUGCUGCAGGAAUUCUCCCAUCUGUAAGGAAAAGGUCACUGAAUCCUUCCCCAAGAAGUCUGUCAAUUGGAGACUCUCUACCCAAAUCAUAAUCGCUGUCUCCAGCUUCGCUAUCACCCCGG
rnacentral:lncRNA from 1 species